CUUGUAUAUAUGCAUAAGUAAUUUUAAUGACUUGGUUGUGUAAUCUGUGAAUCAUGUGGCAACUUUUGUGGUCUCACUUUUGGCAGCCUUUGUGAUUACCGAUAUGGCAACUUUUGUCAUCAUACAUGUGGCAAUUUUUGUUUUCACACAAGUCACAACCUUUUAUGAUUACACAUGUGACAGAGAGGCAGAAGAUACCAAAGGAAAUCAUGAUGCAUGGAUUUUUCUAGCAUUCCACAGGGUCCAGUUUUCAGACCCAUUCCCAACGGCAAAAACCCUACAUUUUUCCCAAUUUUGGUAGUAAAAUUCCCAAAUGAUACAGGAAGUGUGGGAAAAUACUAAAACCAGAUCAAAUACAGAAACGGACAAGUAUAUAAUUCCGGGUUUGUCAAUCAAAUACAGUUAAUAAAAAAUGAAAAGAACCAAACAUGUGACAGCUAUCAUAGCAACACUAAAAUU
rnacentral:lncRNA from 1 species